GAUGAACGCUAGCUACAGGCUUAACACAUGCAAGUCGAGGGGUAACGAGAGGAAAGCUUGCUUUCCUUGUCGACGACCGGCGCACGGGUGAGUAACGCGUAUCCAACCUGCCCCCAACUAGGGAAUAACCUUGCGAAAGUAAGACUAAUACCCUAUAAUUUCCUCAGAUGUCAUCUGACGAGGAAUAAAGAUUUAUCGGUUGUGGAUGGGGAUGCGUCUGAUUAGCUUGUUGGCGGGGUAACGGCCCACCAAGGCAACAAUCAGUAGGGGUUUUGAGAGGAAGGUCCCCCACAGUGGAACUGAGACACGGUCCUAACUCCUACGGGAGGCAGCAGUGAGGAAUAUUGGUCAAUGGGCGGAAGCCUGAACCAGCCAAGUAGCGUGCAGGAUGACGGCCCUAUGGGUUGUAAACUGCUUUUAUACAGGAAUAAAGUUAGCCACGUGUGGUUAUUUGUAGGUACUGUAUGAAUAAGGACCGGCUAAUUCCGUGCCAGCAGCCGCGGUAA
rnacentral:rRNA from 1 species